AGAGUUUGAUCCUGGCUCAGGAUGAACGCUGGCGGCGUGCCUAACACAUGCAAGUCGAACGAAGCUUGACGGAUGAUUUCUUCGGAAUGAAACCUGAUAUGACUUAGUGGCGGACGGGUGAGUAACACGUGAGCAACCUGCCUUUCAGAGGGGGAUAACGGCUGGAAACGGUCGCUAAUACCGCAUGAUGUGUUCGGAUGGCAUCAUCUGAACAUCAAAGAUUUAUCGCUGAAAGAUGGGCUCGCGUCUGAUUAGAUAGUUGGUGGGGUAACGGCCUACCAAGUCUACGAUCAGUAGCCGGACUGAGAGGUUGAACGGCCACAUUGGGACUGAGAUACGGCCCAGACUCCUACGGGAGGCAGCAGUGGGGAAUAUUGCACAAUGGGGGAAACCCUGAUGCAGCAACGCCGCGUGAAGGAUGACGGUUUUCGGAUUGUAAACUUCUUUUCUUAGUGACGAAGACAGUGACGGUAGCUAAGGAAUAAGCAUCGGCUAACUACGUGCCAGCAGCCGCGGUAAUACGUAGGAUGCAAGCGUUAUCCGGAUUUACUGGGUGUAAAGGGAGCGCAGGCGGGACUGCAAGUUGGAUGUGAAAUACCGUGGCUUAACCACGGAACUGCAUCCAAAACUGUAGUUCUUGAGUGAAGUAGAGGCAAGCGGAAUUCCGAGUGUAGCGGUGAAAUGCGUAGAUAUUCGGAGGAACACCAGUGGCGAAGGCGGCUUGCUGGGCUUUAACUGACGCUGAGGCUCGAAAGUGUGGGGAGCAAACAGGAUUAGAUACCCUGGUAGUCCACACUGUAAACG
rnacentral:rRNA from 1 species